UGGAUGGCCGCCCUUUCUAGUUCAGUAGGUUAGCCCAAGUUAGGCUGCAGAAUCCUUCCCUGCUAGCUCCGUUCGCUGCUUCUCCACCUCCUCUCCUCCUGCUUCUCUUGAACUGCCUGGCGCCCUGCCUCCGUCUUCCCUUUGAAGACCGGAUAGCAAUUGAGCUCAGCCACAGCGGUGUGGAUGUGUGAUACAGACAUUAGAAAGGCACCAAUGUGUUAAACCACAGAUGGACAAGAGUGUCGGGAGAGGGGCACAGCAUAGAGAAAGGCAUCUGAGGAGCCAAGAGAGAUUUGAAGCUGCGUAGACUCGAGGGACAUGGUGAAGCAGAGGGAAGGUGGCAGCUCCCUGGAUGGGAACUGAGGAAGUAACACUAACUGGUACAGCUCUGCUUUUCCUUUUUUCAAGUCUUCAAGUCAGGGGCUCUGGCUGAACCCUGCCAUCCGGAGCAGAAAUAUGGGUGGAGCCAAAGAAAGCUAUGACCCAGACAAAGUCUUAGUGUCGUCUGAUCAAUGACACCUCUGCACUGUUUUCUCUAAUGUAUAAGCUCUGUGCUGUGUCGAUAGAUAUUUAGAAGUGUACUUUCCUCUCUCAGCUGUGCUGAAAGCUUUUAUGAGACAUACACGUUUUCUGGUUUGCAACCAUCCCUCAAUAGCUUGCAUACAAAUGUCUCUCUAAAAUAAUUAUCUCUGUGUUGAAUACAAAUGCUACUCAGUAUCUAACUUCAGUAUAGUCUAUUUCACUUCUGAAAUAACUCUGUUUCCUUCACAAAAAUGUACUUGAUAGACAUUUUCUAUAGUCAGAGAAAGAAAAACCAGCACCUUUUAAUAAUCAGUUUAAUUUGGUAUUUUGUAUAAUUUAUAUUGCUGAUGUUUUUACGGUCUCAUAACAAUUCAUUUAAAUGAAGCUCCAGCUAAGGAAAACUUGCAGCCAUGUUUAUCACCUUUUCCACAGAUCAUUAAAUAUGAAAUAUUAAAUGAUAAAAUGUUCUUACAUUAGUGGAAUAAAAAAAAUUCUUAGUUCUUUU